rnacentral:rRNA from 1 species
AGAGUUUGAUCCUGGCUCAGAUUGAACGCUGGCGGCAUGCCUUACACAUGCAAGUCGAACGGCAGCAUGAUCUAGCUUGCUAGAUUGAUGGCGAGUGGCGAACGGGUGAGUAAUACAUCGGAACGUGCCCUGUAGUGGGGGAUAACUAGUCGAAAGAUUAGCUAAUACCGCAUACGACCUGAGGGUGAAAGUGGGGGACCGCAAGGCCUCAUGCUAUAGGAGCGGCCGAUGUCUGAUUAGCUAGUUGGUGAGGUAAAGGCUCACCAAGGCGACGAUCAGUAGCUGGUCUGAGAGGACGAUCAGCCACACUGGGACUGAGACACGGCCCAGACUCCUACGGGAGGCAGCAGUGGGGAAUUUUGGACAAUGGGGGCAACCCUGAUCCAGCAAUGCCGCGUGUGUGAAGAAGGCCUUCGGGUUGUAAAGCACUUUUGUCCGGAAAGAAAUCGCACUUACUAAUAUUAGGUGUGGAUGACGGUACCGGAAGAAUAAGGACCGGCUAACUACGUGCCAGCAGCCGCGGUAAUACGUAGGGUCCAAGCGUUAAUCGGAAUUACUGGGCGUAAAGCGUGCGCAGGCGGUUGUGCAAGACCGAUGUGAAAUCCCCGGGCUUAACCUGGGAAUUGCAUUGGUGACUGCACGGCUAGAGUGUGUCAGAGGGGGGUAGAAUUCCACGUGUAGCAGUGAAAUGCGUAGAGAUGUGGAGGAAUACCGAUGGCGAAGGCAGCCCCCUGGGAUAACACUGACGCUCAUGCACGAAAGCGUGGGGAGCAAACAGGAUUAGAUACCCUGGUAGUCC